rnacentral:lncRNA from 10 species
CUGCCCAAUUCUGCCUCCCAAAGUGCUAGGAUCACAGGCACAAGCCACCGCGCCUGGACUGAAAAUUCCCUUUCUAGCAAUCCCAGGUCUUUAGACAAACUCAACCAAUUGUCAACCAGAAAAUGCUUAAAUUCACCUGGAGGCGCCCCCCCACUUCAUCCCCUGCUUUGAGUUGUCCCUCUUUUCUGGGCCAGACCAAUGAAUUCAAUGAAUUUCUUAAAUGUAUUUGAUUGAUGUCUCAUGUCUCUCUAAAAUAAUUAAAGGAUAGAAUAGAAUUAAAGGAAUAGAAUAGAAGGGAUGGGCCGAAUUAAAGGGCUAGUUAACUGCAGCAGGAGGAU